rnacentral:misc_RNA from 1 species
CAACCCUCAAGCCCUGCUUGGUGUUGGGGCCCUACGGCUGCCGUAGGCCCUGAAAGGAAGUGGCGGGCUCGCUAUAACUCCGAGCGUAGUAAUUAGUUUUCUCGCUAUGGACGUUGCGGCGGUGCUCCUGCCGUUAAAGACCCCAUCUUUAACCAAA